rnacentral:rRNA from 1 species
GGAAGUCUUCCACAAUGGACGCAAGUCUGAUGGAGCAACGCCGCGUGAGUGAAGAAGGGUUUCGGCUCGUAAAGCUCUGUUGUUAAAGAAGAACGUGGGUAAGAGUAACUGUUUACCCAGUGACGGUAUUUAACCAGAAAGCCACGGCUAACUACGUGCCAG